UACGAAGGGGGCUAGCGUUGCUCGGAAUUAUUGGGCGUAAAGGGCAGGUAGGUGGUCUUAUUUGUCUGAUGUGAAAGCCUUGGGCUUAACCCAAGAAGUGCGUCAGAAACGGUGAGACUAGAGUGCUGGAGAGGGUCGUGGAAUUCCCGGUGUAGCGGUGAAAUGCGUAGAGAUCGGGAGGAACACCAGAGGCGAAGGCGGCGACCUGGACAGUGACUGACACUCAACUGCGAAAGCGUGGGGAGCAAACAGG
rnacentral:rRNA from 1 species